rnacentral:lncRNA from 1 species
CGUUGCUCACACGUUAAUUCUAAAUCCACACUCCUGGGGUAGUUUUGCUUGUGGGAAAACAACUCCAACAACUUGUCUUCUUGUUAUAUAAACACACCAACUCUAGAAACUUAACAUAAACACAACUCGCACUACUACAAGCUUAAUUACCAUCUCAUAACUAACUUAAAUUUAUCAUUUCUUUUCAACUUACAUUUCAGAACACUCACUUUAAUUUCUUCAUUCUUAGUCAAAAUGACACACAUUUCAUUGGCCAUCAUCACUACAAGGAGCAUUAACAAGUCAUACAAUGAAGAUGGAUGGAUUUGUUAUACAUCGGAAGCUUGCAUUGAAGAAGAUUAUAACAAUAAGGAUGGAGGUUCCGAACUAAAUGCAUACAGAGAAGGUGAUGAUGACGAUGAUGGUGGUUAUGACUAUGCUCCAGCUGCAUAAACUCUUGAGUACUAGCUUACAUUACUUCUAGUAUUAGUAUUAACAAAAUGUCUACUCCAAAUUAGCUCAUAUGCCCAAAACUCAGGAGCUACCAUGUAUUGAGAUCCUUUACUUAUAGUCGAAUUUAAAUUUCACAAACUAAAAGAACCUAACAACAAGCUUGUUAUGCGUUUUCUAUUUAGAGUUUCUUUCCCCAUCAUUUCCUUGACCAUCUAAUGCAAGGCAAAUCAUUAACACAAAGGAACAGAGUCAAUAUAAAAGAAAAAGUAAUGCGUCAUUCUAUUGAAAGAUAAAUUCUUUUUCUCGCAUAUAGAUUACGUAUUUGUAUUAUACAUUGAUUAAUGCAUGGAUUAUGGAUAUCCACUAUCCAAUUUAAACUCCUAAGCAUGUUUAAAGUUUUAUUAUUAUUUUUUUCAUUCCAUUAAAUCAUUUUUAAUAAUGUCAAGAAACUACCGAUGACUCUUGUUGAUAGAAGAUAUCGCGCUGUAGGUCAUUCUCGAAUAUCUAUUAUUUGAGAUUUUCCUUCACUCAUUCUGAAAUUAUGUUCUUAAGGGACAUACGUUGGACAAAUGUUUGAGACAACGUGUAUCACAUGUUAAAUCAGAUCGACAGAUUAUCACAAAUACUAAGGAAUUAAAUGCGGAAAGCAAUAAAGAAUACAAGAAAAUUGU